rnacentral:rRNA from 1 species
CCGUUUUUCGGCGGGCAAUGGCAGCUCAUGAUUUAAAGGAUGUGCCUCUUCUUGCGCGUGUGCAUGCCGCAGCACGACUUUUGCAUUCAGAUAAACCUUGUCAUCAAUGAGCUGCGCUUUGUGCAGCCGAUCUAAUUCAAGUGCAGCCAGUUCGAUAUCCCACUCACGCUUGCCAACAUGAAUGAACGUACCAAACCCCUUUAAUAAUUGCAGAACAUCAUAGUAAGUUUUCAUACUAGCCUGCGUUAAAUCCUAAGAAAAGCAACGCGCCCAGUCCGAAGAGCAAGGUGACAGCUGAAGCAAUCCGCCGCGGUGUCCCCAUGCGACCAAGUGCCGGAGCACCCAACAUGCCUGCUGCAAGAAAGCCACCAAGCAAACCGCCAAUGUGACCAAAAAUGUCAAUGCCGCUGGAAAACAGAUUAAACAGUAAGUUCAAGCCAACCAACAGUAAGAAUUGGCGCGCCAACUGACGAAUCACUGGAUUUUCUUUGAAGCUGUCGCCGAGCAUCAAGCAGGCACCGAGCAAACCGAAAAUUGCUGUACUGGCACCUGCCGCAAGUGUGUUAGGACUAAAGGCAAAACUCGCGACAUUACCGGCAAAACCCGAAAUAAAGUACAACAGAAAGAAUCGCCAAUGGCCAAAUAGUUGUUCCGUCAUUUGUCCCAAAUAAUACAAUGAGAAACCGUUAACCAGAAUGUGCAUUAAGCCGAUGUGGACAAAUACUGGUGUCAUCAAUCGCCACCACUGACCAUACAAAAUCAAAGGAUUCAGCCGCGCGCCGUAGAAAACCAACACGCUAUUAUUGGUACUGCCACCAGAGAAAGUCUCCAAAAGGAAGACCAAAAUGGUAACCACUAAAAUAGCAUUGGUCACAUAAGCUGAAUUUUGCAGCCGAGAGCGCCAGUUUGAAUAAUUCAUAGUUUCCUUUCUAACCCAUCUGCCAAGCAGACAGGAACUGCUUGCCGUAUGCCGAGCCUGCCGCACCAAUCCGCUAAAAAAACAACAGGUCCGCCUGUUGUUUUUCGCACCGUCAGAAGCGUUGGCCAAACACUUGGCGGCCAUGUUCUUGUAGUAGUUUAGCAUUUUUUGCACACGCUGCCAACACGAUCAGCCGUUAACUGUCUUCUGAUGAAUCGAAUAAUCCUUAUCUUCUUUGAUGUUGUUCAUCUGAUAGAAGUCAGUAAACAUUUCUUUGGCAAUCUGCAGUUGAUAAGGCUUGGUGGUUUCAGCCUUCAGAUUCGGGAUAAUCACUGCAAUCGCAAUCUUUGGAUCCUUCGCUGGUGCAUACCCAACGAAACUUUCCGUGAUGGUUUCAGUGAGCGCUGAAUCUUUGGACUCACGAGCAAACCCUUGAGCAGUCCCGGUUUUCCCGGCAACGCCCGGAUUCAAGGUAUUCAGCGAAGUCGCUGUAGUCCAACCGUUUGUGCCAUGCACAACCUGCCACAUUCCUUGCUUAACUAGGUUAAUCUGAUCUUGCGUAUUGUCGAUUUUUGAAGUAACGGAAGGCUGAGUUGAGGUUAACACCGGACCGCUACUGCCAUCGCUCAGUGUUUGGCUAAUACUGUUCACUAAGAAUGGUUUCAUCCGAUAACCGUUGUUGGCAAUGGCGCUGAUAUACUGCAGCAUCUGAAUAAGUGUGUAGUUAUCAUAGUUCCCGUAAGACAAAUCCAACGCCGAACCGACAAGCAAAUUGCCUGAUGAAUCAUGCGUAUUGCCUUCUAACCCUGCAAUCUCACCGGGCAAGUCAAUCCCGGUUUUGAGACCUAAUCCGAAUUGGUUAAAGUAGCCGCGCAUUUUGCUAAAAAUAUCCGAAUUCAAUUUCAGAUAAUUAUUUGGCGAGUAUGCAUAGUGGCCUUCUUUCAUGGCCAGCCACAUCAUGUAAAUGUUACUGGAAACUUCCAGUGCAGAGGCUGCAUCCAAUGAACUGAAGGUACCGACCGGGUAAACAGAUUUCUUGACUGGUGUACCAGGCAAGUAAAUCGGUGUAUCAGCUUGAGUAUUAGAAUUGACGGUAAUCACGCCGUCUUGCAAGGCGCCUAGCACCGUGGCACCCUUAACCGCUGACCCAACAACAAAUGCGCGGUUGAUAACGCCAAGUGCAUCAUCUUCAACCUUAUGUGUCUGAACAUCCUGAUGCUGACCCGCCAUGGCGAGGAUACGACCCGUAUUUGGAUCCAUCGCAACCGCGUAAGCACCAUCUGACAAGCCACCCGCACCAGCAGAUCGAAUCGAACUGAAGGUGUCACUCAAAGACUUUUCGACUUUCUUCUGAUAAUCCGAAUCGAUCGUCAGAUUCAAAUUGGCGCCUUGUUGCCCUUUGAACUUGGAAACAGAUUGAAUAAUCUGGUUGUUAUUCCCGAUUUCAACCUGCGUUUGACUCUUGGAACCCUUCAGAACAUUUUCAUAUGCUUUUUCAAGGUAACUGGUGCCGACCCGGUCAUUCCGAGCAUAGCCAUUUGCCAAGUAUGCUUGUAGUUGGUCAGCUGGUAACCCUGACUUUUCGUUGGAAACUUG